UACGUAGGUGGCAAGCGUUGUCCGGAUUUACUGGGCGUAAAGAGCGCGCAGGCGGUCGUUCAAGUCGCGUGUGAAAGCCCCCCGGCUCAACUGGGGAGGGUCACGCGAUACUGAUCGACUCGAAGGCAGGAGAGGGUAGUGGAAUUCCCGGUGUAGUGGUGAAAUGCGUAGAUAUCGGGAGGAACACCAGUGGCGAAGGCGACUACCUGGCCUGUUUCUUGACGCUGAGGCGCGAAAGCUAGGGGGAGCAAACGGG
rnacentral:rRNA from 1 species